UUCCUGCUCUGUACGAGAGGAACCACAGGUUCAGACGUUUGGUGUCUGUCCUUGGCCGAGGAGCCAAUGGUGCGAAGCUCCCAUCUGUGGGAUUAGAUUCUGACCACCUCUAAAUCAGAAUCCC
rnacentral:ncRNA from 1 species